rnacentral:rRNA from 1 species
AUGCUUUUUUUCCUUCUUCUCUUUGUUCGUCUGUUGGCAACGGGCAGCCGGACGUUUCGCCCUUGUGUCCGUGUUGAUGGGAGCAGUCGGCCCGCAUCUCUUUCUUUCUUUCUUUCUACUUUUUGGAGCAGUCGGCCACUCUUUUUUUUAAGCACCCGGCUAGGUUGCCAGUCGGCACACUUUGUUGACCCAGCAGCAGCCGGCCGACUCUUCUUCCUUUUUUUCUUCUUCUGCCGGUUUGGGCAGCCGGCAUCUCUCCACCCGGCCUCGUUUCUUUUUCUCCAGCCGGCCACUUUUUUCAUUUUCUUGGUCAGCCGGAUGGAUCACGCGAGCAGCCGGCCACUUCUUUCUUUCCAGUCGAAUGCACCGGGCAGCGGGGCCGGCUGGCACGCGCCGGGUGCAGGUGGAGGCGGGGCGGCGAGCAGGAGGACGGCCCGUCCGGAUGGGGCAGGAGGGGGCCGGCCGCGGCGCGAGGAGUCAGAGCCGGCACGCCAGGAGCCGGCCAGCAGUCCGGCACGCGUGCGAGGAGGCGGCCGGGUGCGACGAGUCAGCUCGGCAUGCAGCGGAGGCGGCCGAGCGAGUUGUGGGGCCGGCUUGCAGGCGAGGCGGAGGACGCCGGAGUGGCCUCAGGCGACUGGGCCAGAGGCGCGCGGGCGAGCCGGCUGGCCGGGUGCGACGAGGAGCUGCGGGCGGGUCGCGUGGCAAGCCGGCAGACGCGCUGGGGAAGCCGGCGGAGCGCGGGCUCUGCGGAGGCAGCCGCGGACGGGUCCGACCCGACGGUGUGGAGCAGCCGGCGCGACGAGACGGAGCCAGCCGCAAGCGGGGCGGGGCCAAGCGCCGGGACGGCCAGGACGCGCGGGGGCGGAGCAGGCGAAGCCGGUCCAACCGCCGGGCGGCGCGGAGGAGCGCGAAGGGUCUUCGGGCGCAGAUAUUGUGCAGCGACGCGGCGUUGGCGGGCCGUGCAGCCUGGGUCGAUGCAUGCGCGGGGGGACGCGGGAUGCGUGA